UGACCUUAACUGUUUUAGUACUGAAAAUAAGCCAGAGGUCCACCAAGAUGUGACUGUCUAUAGUGGCUCUGAGAUACUGCUGUCUUGCUCUACACAAGAUUCAAUGUGGUGGACGCCCAGUGGUCAAGCAUCUGUAAGCCAACCUCAGCCUGGUCUACUCAUCAAUGACAUCACAGAGAGAGACACAGGACUAUAUGUGUGUCUAUCUGAAGAA